AUUGAACGCUGGCGGCAUGCCUUACACAUGCAAGUCGAACGGCAGCACGGGGGCAACCCUGGUGGCGAGUGGCGAACGGGUGAGUAAUACAUCGGAACGUGUCCUAUCGUGGGGGAUAACUAGUCGAAAGACUAGCUAAUACCGCAUGAGAUCGAGAGAUGAAAGCAGGGGACCGCAAGGCCUUGCGCGAUUGGAGCGGCCGAUGUCGGAUUAGCUAGUUGGCGGGGUAAAAGCCCACCAAGGCGACGAUCCGUAGCUGGUUUGAGAGAACGACCAGCCACACUGGGACUGAGACACGGCCCAGACUCCUACGGGAGGCAGCAGUGGGGAAUUUUGGACAAUGGGGGAAACCCUGAUCCAGCCAUGCCGCGUGUGUGAAGAAGGCCUUCGGGUUGUAAAGCACUUUCGGACGGAACGAAAUCGCAAGGGUGAAUAUCCCUUGUGGAUGACGGUACCGUAAGAAGAAGCACCGGCUAACUACGUG
rnacentral:rRNA from 1 species